GGGGUUGUGGCUCAGUGGUAAAGCAUUUGCCUAGCAUGCAUGAGGCACUGGGUUCGAUUCUCAGCACCA
rnacentral:tRNA from 1 species